GUCGAACGCUGGCGGCGUGCUUAACACAUGCAAGUCGAACGCUGAAGACCUGGCUUUUGUUGGGUUGGAUGAGUGGCGAACGGGUGAGUAACACGUGAGUAACCUGCCCUCUUCUUUGGGAUAACGCCCGGAAACGGGUGCUAAUACUGGAUAUUCACUGAUCUUCGCAUGGGGGUUGGUGGAAAGGUUUGUUCUGGUGGGGGAUGGGCUCGCGGCCUAUCAGCUUGUUGGUGGGGUGAUGGCCUACCAAGGCUUUGACGGGUAGCCGGCCUGAGAGGGUGACCGGUCACAUUGGGACUGAGAUACGGCCCAGACUCCUACGGGAGGCAGCAGUGGGGAAUAUUGCACAAUGGGCGAAAGCCUGAUGCAGCGACGCCGCGUGAGGGAUGGAGGCCUUCGGGUUGUAAACCUCUUUCGCUCAUGGUCAAGCCGCAACUGUGGGUUGUGGUGAGGGUAGUGGGUAAAGAAGCGCCGGCUAACUACGUG
rnacentral:rRNA from 1 species